AAUCCAAUUUACACAUCUCCAUAAUGAAUGAAAGAGUUACAUUGUCACAAUAGCACAGAAAUUAUUUUUAUUUGGCAAGGACUUGUAAAAAUGUUGAACAACAACUUUUGUGAAGGCAUUCCAUUCAUUUUCAUGUGUCAGGCUAAAUUAAAAAGAAUAAGAAGCAGAAAUAGUGAAGAUUUACAUGUUUUGCUAUUAUUUUAAUCAUUCUGUCAGUACAGAAGCCUUAGAUUUUUCAGCAAGUCAUUAAGGAAUUUGUUCUUGUGUCUGUUUUUUAUUUUACGCCCCUCUUUUAAAUAUAUAUUUUCUGUCAGAAUUGAUGCAAGUCAUGUUGCCCUAGCUACUAUAAAUAAAAAAUCUAUGCACCAAGAGUCUAUACUAUAAAGAUGCUUUCUGAGUGGAUCAAUAACUACAUAUAUCUAUCAAGUGAAAGUAUAACCAUUUGGGUGUAACCAUUUUGGAAUAAAAUAUUGAAGAGCUGCAAGAUUUUUAUGACUUUUGCAGAAUUAAAAUUGUAUAUCUGAUUGAUUUUUGGGUGCUAAGCAUCCAUUGGCAAAUAUUUCAUACAUGUUUUGGACAUAGGUAAACAAGCACUGAAGUUUGAAUAAAGUUCUAAUGAUCAAAGGAACACACAAUUUAAGCAAAGUACUAAAUUAUUUUUUUCCAAGCAACCCAUCUCCAAAUUUAUAAAUUUUACAAACAGCUGAAGAAAUAAGGAACUUGUCGUCUCAAUUUUUUAGGUUUUAAAAGAUUGACUAUUAUGGUUAGAUAAUAGUCCCAGAUAUAGAGUAUUGAUAGUUUGUAUUUAAUGUAUCAUAUCAAUUGUCAACACAUUGUAAUGUUUACUGAUGUAAUUGAUACACCGAUGAUUUAACUGUCCACAGGUAUUGUACUUAAUCUUUACAGGUAAAUUAGACUUCCUACAUGGUCAUCCCUCAGGGCAGAAAGAUGACAAGAUGCUUGUCAAUCAGAGAUCUAAAGAGGAAGUCAACCAGUGAAAAACAGGUUCAGGAAAAUAAUGGUUUACAUGGCAACAUCUUUAAAGUACAUCGUCUGAUGAUUUGAUAAUAGUGAAUCUGAUGAAAUAUAUAGAGCAUGCACCACUGGCAGACCCAAGGACUUUUUGCUGAAAAAGAAGCCGUCAAGCAUUUGUGUGAGAUAAGAAGAUACACUGUCUGAAAUGCUAACCAGUUUAUAAAUGCCUAUGGAUCUAGAUAAAGAAUCCCAAAGCAGAAAGGAUCAGCUCAUAUCAAAAGGAAUAGACUAGAGAAAUUAGACAUGGGGAACAGUCCAUGUACCAGUUACACAUUGUCAAGAGAGGAGAUAAAUCCCAGGAUACUACCCAGUGAAAGAACAUGGACAUGUUUCUGAUCAUAUCAACAUUAAUAAUAAUGCCUGGAGUUCAGUUAUUACAUUAGGAACAACAGUUUGACAUAUACUUCCUAGGACUCCCACAUUAGGAGAGUUUUUACUUCCUAGAAAUCCCAUGGAGAGCCAUUGUAGCUAUUCAAUUUAAUAUACAGAUCAUCAUAUUUAGUACAGUACAAGUUAUAAAAUUCAAUAAAAAAGCAACUUACCCUUAUGUUUUUAUGAAUGUUUUUCUUAAGGAAUUUCCCAUAAUUGAUCGAUGUAAGACAUUUUUGUACACAAAUCCUUAUACUUUAUUUUUGUAAUAAAUCACAGAAAACUGGCACUAAUCCAGUCCUAAAGUAAUGAAUAUAUGAUCAAACUGUAAAAAGGUAUUAAUUUACUUCCUAAUGGGAAACAUGAUAUUUAAGGUCUAAUUAAAAGUACUUACCUUUUUGUAAUUAUUUCCCACACCUGGGAAUUGUUCUUUUUUGUUAUUUAUUCCUCUAAGAAUUAUUAUCCUGUGUGACUAAAGUAUUUUAACACAAUAUCUGACUAGACUGAUAUUGACAAUUAUUUCAUGCUCUAGGGGGUUGUGUCAAAGUGUAUGUUGUUAAAUAUCUAUCCAGGUAAACUUUUUACAAGUUCUCAAUGAGAAAGUUAUCUCACAACUGAAUACAAAAUUUGAAAAAUUAUAUACACAUUUUAUUAAUUGAAAUUUUUAUGAGCAGAAAUUUGCUUCAAUAGUUGCUGAUAGAGCAGAACUAUUCAAUUUAUUUCCCCAGGCAAAUCUAAAGGUUUAUUUAUCUCGAAACAUCAAUAGAUAUUUUGAUCUUGACAUGAUGAAUUUUUAUAAGCCUCCUGUUACUCUGCAUGAUUACAUUUUUUAACCCUAUCUCAUCUAGAGAAGAGUUCAUAAAACACUACUCGUUUCUGCUGUAGUAGCAUCUGUUCAUUUAAAUCACCAAUCAAAUUAACAAAGUUAAUAGAAUUUCUACACUUUUGCAUUUAUUUAUUACUUUUUGAGAGAUGAUCACAAUGCCUGGGCAAUUCAUGGUAAUUUAUAAAAUCAACUUCUUCGCCAGAACUCAAUUAUAGAACAUUCUAAUACAAUUUGUGUGAUGUUUACCAAAAUUUUAUUCAAAUCAUGGGGUGCCAUUAUAGACCUGAUUAUACUAGUUUUUAUAUCUGAGGAUUUUCAAACCCUAAAUCUCUACUCUAGAAACCUUAGUUUACUUUUAUUAUAAACAAAAUAUUUUUGAAACAAGUCAUAUAUUUUAUAAUCAACAUGUAUAGGUAUUAUGAAAGACCUAAAAGAAUGGCCCUGUUUUCUAGGUAAAAUUUCAAUAUUCUUUAAACAAUGACUAGAUAGUUAUUUGCCUAAAUGUGGUAGAAAUUCUAUUUCUGAUUUUACGACUUUCAUCAAUAUCUCUACUUUUGGCCAAUAUGGGUGUAAAUUUAAAGUCUUUAAAAAAAACCCUCAAAUUCGUAUUUCACUUUAAUGCAUCAAACUGAAAUACUUUAAUUUUUUAAGUUAUUUACUUAAGACUAAAUAGGACCCCUUCUCUUUAAUUCCAUAUUGGGUUAGUAAGUUAGUACAACAGUCAGCAAAUCUAUUUUAUUGCUAUUUUUAACCUUGAGUCUGUUCUGUAUGUAUUUUCACUUUUUUUAGAUAUUGAUCAGACAUUAUAACAAUGACAAGUAUGUAAUGUGGUAACACAUUUUACAAUGGAAUGUGGGAUUUAUAUAUAUUGUACUUAGAUAUGGUUAUUUUAUACUAUAGAUGUACAUGUAUACACUUAUUUGUAAUGGAAAUCAUCUAUUCAGACUAAAAAGUCUACAUUUUUUUAUAAAACAAGUUUUUUCUUUAUAAUUCAAACUAUAAUAUUUAUUUCAACACCUAAAACACAAUUUGUUUUUUUUUUAGUGUGAGAGGUUGAAAAUAAUGCAACAUAAACUCAAAUAAUUCAGGCAAAAGAUGGAGAGUUUGGAAAGCAUUGAAGUUUUAUUACCCCAAAAAGUCUGCUAAAGAAUUAUUUGGUAAUAAACAAAAAAUGAAAUCUCCUUUAAUAUUAAAUCAAAAACACUGUUUUAAUCCAGUGAAAAUAACUUUUCACAUUUUCACUUUAUUAUUAUCAACCUAGAUGGAAAGCAAAGAGACCCAUUAAUUUUAAAAGAUGAUACAACACUUUUCAUAACCAGAUGUUACAAAAACAAUUGUGUGUUUUGAAAACAAUCUGGAACCAGCAUGAUUCUCAGAAUGUCUGAAUGAAUUAAUAUACACCUACUGUUUACUAUAAGUAUAUCUCUUUUUUGUUUCUUUUGGAUCUUAGUAUGAGUAUACAGAGGUAGCAUACAUUUGAGCUCCAUGCAUGUCAAGUUAGAAAUCCUAUAAAUGAAACCUUUGGGUUGCAUGAUGACCUGACAUGUCUGAGGAUGGAAAGUAGUUCAAUCAAUAUGAUUUAUUUAAAUGUAUUUAAAAAAAUAGGAGAAAUGAGAUUUGUCUACGAAUGUGAUUUUACAUUGAUCCUGAUUAGCCUUCUUGUAAACAUUGCUUUGUUUGAAUACUGUGGAUUCAUUAUUAUUCGUUGGAUACCAAUUUUCGUGGGAACAGUUGAACCUCGAAAUUAAAUGUUCAACGAAUGACAAUUUUUCUCGUGGCUAGUACGCAGACUUCGGCAAAACCACGAAAUCAAAUAUCCACGAACAUGUAAGUUUUCCUCAAUCCACGAAAAUUGGUAUCCACGAAAAUAAAUGAAUCCACAGUUCAUAACAUUGUAAUUGAAAAUAGAUGUUCACAAUGCUUAUUAUUGAUCAGGUUAAGACUAGAAUGUGUGUUUAAUACAAUUUUUACAGAAAUUGAUUGUUUCAAUCGUGUUUCUUUGGUUUGAUGAAAAUAAUUUGAUUUGCAUAGAUCUGUUUUAUGUAAUAGAAUUAUAAGAUACUAUAUUUAAAAUGAAUUAAUCAAAGGAAAUCCUAGCUUCUUUCUGAGACAAUGAUAAAUGUAUGUAUAAAAUGUAGAUUUUGAGACUGAUAGAUUUUCCAUUCUUUCACAUUUCACAAAAUUGUAAAUAGUAUAUUAAGAUGAUUAAUAUAUUAAGUCUGUUUGCAGAUGAUAAAGUAGAACAUUUCACCAAGGAUUUGUGAUAAGUUCCAGUAGGAUUCCUUUAUGUAAGCCUGUCUGUCUGACUGUAAAUUCUAACUUCAGGAUGUUCGCUACUCUGUUUAAAAAUAACAAGCUUUUUUAAAGACUGUUAUAGAUUGAAAGUAUGUAAAUAAAAAAACAAAAAAAGCAGAAAAAAUGGAGGGUCCGUGUGCUUAUUUUCGAGUUGUAAGAGGGUUUGGAUGGAGUUAGAUGAUUAAAGAAUAAUGCCAUUAAAAUAUGAAGAUUAGAGAAUAACGGGCCAAAAAAAAGAAGAUUAGUGAAUAACGGGCAAAAAAAAGAAGAUUAGUGAAUAACGGGCCAAAAAAAUGAAGAUUAGUGAAAAAAAGGGUGGGGUUUUUUAACAUUAGAGAAAAAAAAGGGGUUAAUUUUUUGAAGAUUAGAGAAAAAAAGGGUGAAGAUUGAAUGUUUACAGAAUAACAGACCAAUAAUGGUUUCAGAGUUGUGUCCCUUCAAUUGUUUCAGACAGGUAAUAACAAAGUGAAAUAUCAGUCUUUCCAAAAAUGAAUAAUAUAUUUCCUUUUUAAUUUUUUUGUAUUUAUAAUAUUUUUAUUUGGCCAUUUCUUAAUGAGUCAAAUAAAAUACCUUUGCUGUAUCGUUAUAAUCUACCAUGAAAAUCAGAAAUUCAGUAUAUGUUUUAAAAAAUGUUUUUAUCUUCUUAUAUCAUCAUUAUUUAAUUCUAAAUACAGGGGAAUUUCAAAAGUGUUACCCCUUUUACUGUUCCAGAAUAUAACUCCAUACAUGCUAAACCUAAUGGAGGAGUAGGAAUAUGACAUAAAUGGUUUUUGGAUAAUACAUUAUGCAAGCUUAUAUCAUGUCCCUUAUAAGUUUAUUCUACACAUUUAUUUUAUUUUUUUGUUGGUUUUGAACAAGCAGUUUCUUAAUGAUAACAUAAAAGGCUUUAACAUAUUAAUGCAUUGCUGAAAAUAAAGAUUAAACUUAAGGGGGUUCGCGGGUCUAAAUCAUUUAUAUAGGAUUUCUCUAUAUUUUUCUAUAAAGGAACUUUAUCCUAAAGUUAAUAGAAAAAUAGAAUAAAAAAGUGGGGUCACCGUUCAUUUGCGCUCACAAUCUGCCUUCGAAAGAAACAUACAUUUUUGUAUAAGUGUUUUUUUUUCUGUUGAAAUAAUAGGAGAAAUAAAUUUAAUAUCAAAAUAAAAAAAAGAAAUUUAUUACAGAAAUCGCUCAAAUUUUACAAUAAUUUAGUUUAAGUACAGCUUAUAUGGAAAUUAUAAUAAAAAAUAUAGGUCACCGAUGAGUUGAAAAAGCUAUUUCAAUUUUAAAGCCAAAAAAUGGCAUUUUUCCACCAAAGGGAGAUAAUUUGGAACUGUUUCAAUGAUGUAUACAUCUUAAAAGUCAUCUGGAGCCAACACGAAUUGACUGUUUUGAAUGUUUUUUGUACCAUAUGAUAAAGUAACAACUACAAAAGGUAACAAAUAAAAUUUGUAUUGAAAAACAAAUGUUUAAUUUUUUUCUGAAAUUUUUAUACCCUCGAGCCUCCUUUUAAGACUAGAUUACUAUUGAUGUUUUGCUUCUUAUCAACCUAAAUGGAAAGGCUUAUUGAAUGGAGUUUGUGUUUAUCAUUGCUCUGUCUUACAAUUUUUUUCGUACUGAAAUACAAGCUUUAACUUUUUUGCAUUUCUCCUACUGUGCUGUUAGGAGACUAUCUGCAGGCUUUGCCUACUUAUAUCUUUGUAGGAACAAAACUCUGACAGCCAAUUUUAUUAACUUUUAGAUCUAACAAAACGAAAUUAUGAUAUGUAAUAAAACAUUAUUUAAAGGUAGCCUUUGAAUUAUCUUUAAUUCUCAUUAAGUGACCCCCUACCCUGUUAUUUCAGGACUACUUCAUUAAUAAGCUUUUAGAUAGUGACAUAUCUUGGUUUUUUUCAACAAACAAUUUAAUGUACUGAAACAAUUUUAGUAUAUACUCAUAUUGCCUUAUGUUAAAGGGCCCUUUAAUGUAUAUAUGACUUAUCCCUUUAGUAAACAAUGAAUUCCACAAGGUUGUCUCAGGUAAUGCAACAAUAUAUCAUGCUCUACUUAAAUGAGUCACCAUGGAAAACCUGUCAUUUCACAGAUUUGACAAAGUGUUUUGCAUUCAGUCAUUAUCUUUUGUGAAAUGUUUUACCUGUAAUUUGUCUCGGUCAAAAGCUAAUUUGCAGUGAUGAAUGUUUUAUUCUUUCCCUUUGUUAGCGGUCAAAUGUCAAAAGGCCAUUUACCUUUUCUGUACAACUUUUACUAAUGCUUCAUUAAAUAUGAUGGGAACAGUAACUGGUUGGUUGUUCAACCCUAUAAAAUUAACUCAUUUAUCUUUUUUUCUACUGAUAUAUAGUUUAAAUCAAAUGUUAUAUUGAUCUCUUGGGUAUUAAAUUGUUUCUUAACUUU